rnacentral:rRNA from 1 species
UCUUCCUACGGGGCGCAGCAGUGGGGAAUAUUGGGCAAUGGACGCAAGUCUGACCCAGCAACGCCGCGUGAAGGAAGAAGGCUUUCGGGUUGUAAACUUCUUUUAAGGGGGAAGAGCAGAAGACGAUACCCCUUGAAUAAGCCACGGCUAACUACGUGCCAGCAGCCGCGGUAAUACGUAGGUGGCAAGCGUUGUCCGGAUUUACUGGGUGUAAAGGGCGUGCAGCCGGAGAGACAAGUCAGAUGUGAAAUCCACGCGCUCAACCCGUGAACUGCAUUUGCAACUGUUUCCCUUUAUUGUCGGCG